rnacentral:rRNA from 1 species
AGAGUUUGAUCAUGGCUCAGGACGAACGCUGGCGGCGUGCUUAACACAUGCAAGUCGAACGGAAAGGCCCUUCGGGGUACUCGAGUGGCGAACGGGUGAGUAACACGUGGGUGAUCUGCCCUGCACUUUGGGAUAAGCCUGGGAAACUGGGUCUAAUACCGAAUAUGACCAUGCACUUCCUGGUGUGUGGUGGAAAGCUUUUGCGGUGUGGGAUGGGCCCGCGGCCUAUCAGCUUGUCGGUGGGGUAAUGGCCUACCAAGGCGACGACGGGUAGCCGGCCUGAGAGGGUGACCGGCCACACUGGGACUGAGAUACGGCCCAGACUCCUACGGGAGGCAGCAGUGGGGAAUAUUGCACAAUGGGCGCAAGCCUGAUGCAGCGACGCCGCGUGAGGGAUGACGGCCUUCGGGUUGUAAACCUCUUUCAGCACAGACGAAGCGCGAGUGACGGUAUGUGCAGAAGAAGGACCGGCCAACUACGUGCCAGCAGCCGCGGUAAUACGUAGGGUCCGAGCGUUGUCCGGAAUUACUGGGCGUAAAGAGCUCGUAGGUGGUUUGUCGCGUUGUUCGUGAAAACUCACAGCUUAACUGUGGGCGUGCGGGCGAUACGGGCAGACUGGAGUACUGCAGGGGAGACUGGAAUUCCUGGUGUAGCGGUGGAAUGCGCAGAUAUCAGGAGGAACACCGGUGGCGAAGGCGGGUCUCUGGGCAGUAACUGACGCUGAGGAGCGAAAGCGUGGGGAGCGAACAGGAUUAGAUACCCCGGUAGUCC